AUUGAACGCUGGCGGCAUGCUUUACACAUGCAAGUCGAACGGUAACAGGUCUUCGGAUGCUGACGAGUGGCGAACGGGUGAGUAACGCAUCGGAACGUGCCCAGUCGUGGGGGAUAACGCAGCGAAAGCUGUGCUAAUACCGCAUACGAUCUAUGGAUGAAAGCGGGGGAUCGCAAGACCUCGCGCGAUUGGAGCGGCCGAUGUCAGAUUAGGUAGUUGGUGGGGUAAAGGCUCACCAAGCCAACGAUCUGUAGCUGGUCUGAGAGGACGACCAGCCACACUGGGACUGAGACACGGCCCAGACUCCUACGGGAGGCAGCAGUGGGGAAUUUUGGACAAUGGGCGCAAGCCUGAUCCAGCAAUGCCGCGUGCAGGAAGAAAGGCCUUCGGGUUGUAAACUGCUUUUGUACGGAACGAAACGGCUCUGGUUAAUACCUGGGGCUAAUGACGGUACCGUAAGAAUAAGCACCGGCUAACUACGUGCCAG
rnacentral:rRNA from 1 species